UACGUAGGCAGCGAGCGUUGUUCGGAGUUACUGGGCGUAAAGAGCUCGUAGGCGGUCUGUCGCGUCUGCUGUGAAAACUCGGGGCUUAACCCCGGGCCUGCAGUGGGUACGGGCAGACUAGAGUGCGGUAGGGGAGACUGGAAUUCCCGGUGUAGUGGUGAAAUGCGUAGAUAUCGGGAGGAACACCAGUGGCGAAGGCGACUUCCUGGCCUGUUCUUGACGCUGAGGCGCGAAAGCUAGGGGAGCAAACGGG
rnacentral:rRNA from 1 species